UUUAAAACAAGAGUGAAUAGGCACCUUCUAGGUAAACGCGUCCCAUCUUAGGCCACAUCAUCACUUUCCAUCAGGUGUGAUUGUGGUCAAGCGCUUGCCUAUAAUAAUAAAAAAAAUCAGUCAUACUCUCCAUGGGUCAUACUACUCAACAUGUAUAGUCUCACCCGCCGCGAUUCGAAACUUUUAUAUCGAGUUCGGUUACGGUUACUAACGGAUAUAUUAUCUACUAUUUCGGAUAUCCGAUAGUUUCGGUUACAUAUUAUUAUAUCCCUUGGGAGAUAUCACGAUUCUAAAAUAUGAAGGAAAACUUUUAGAAUCGCGAUAUCUCAGGAAUGGUGAUUCUUAGAAAAAAAAAAAAAACUUUAGUAGAUACUUUUAUGAUCUACAAUUUAUGUCUUACCUGUUUCAUGAUAAACCUUUUAUCUGGAAGAUGCAAAACACUCAUUUUUGUGAACUUUAACCUCAAAUAUACUUUUUGCAAAUGUGGGAUCAAUGGGGAUUUUUCACAAUUUAUUUCGUACCAAUUUGUUGUAGUAUGUAUGAUCUCUACGCGUAUAAUUGUAUUCUUGUAUGUCUAUAUUGACCGGGCUAUGAUAUAUUUUAAAUAUCCUAUAGUGAGAAAUGUGCUUCAAUGGCAUCGCGCGAGACGAGUCCGUGACGACAUACUCGCCUAGAGUCACUCGUCGACUCGCCGCGACAGUACCGCCCUGUGGAGACUAUCGCCGCGAUUCUCUUGUCCGUGGAGAUGACGCUUUAGCAGUGAGUUCUCAUGUAACUUACAUGAGAACUCACUACCACCCUAUAUGAUGAAAGGUAUCUCAAAAAUUAAAGAACGAUACAAAACUCUUACAUAAUUUACAACAGUACGAUUUUUAACCAAUUGUGAGUUCUCAUGUGCCUCACUAAACUACUCUUCUCGUUACAUUUAUACUUGCAUAACUUGCAAGAAUAUGGUUUUUCACCAGUGUGAGUUCUCAUGUGCCUCACUAAAUCACUCUUU